rnacentral:rRNA from 1 species
UACAGAGGUCCCAAGCGUUGUUCGGAUUUACUGGGCGUAAAGGGUGCGUAGGCGGUCGGGUAAGUCUGAUGUGAAAUCUCUGGGCUCAACCCAGAAAUGGCAUUGGAUACUAUUCGGCUAGAGAGUUGGAGGGGGAACUGGAAUACUUGGUGUAGCAGUGAAAUGCGUAGAUAUCAAGUGGAACACCAGUGGCGAAGGCGAGUCCCUGGACAACUUCUGACGCUGAGGCACGAAAGCUAGGGGAGCAAACAGG